GGGCUCAUAGCUCAGAUGGUUAGAGCGCGCGCCUGAUAAGCGCGAGGUCGAUGGUUCGAUUCCAUUUGAGCCCACCA
rnacentral:tRNA from 1 species